rnacentral:rRNA from 1 species
UACGGAGGGUGCAAACGUUGCUCGGAAUCAUUGGGCGUAAAGCGCACGUAGGUGGCCUGUUAAGUCGGGUGUGAAAUCCCUGGGCUCAACCCAGGAAGUGCACUCGAAACUGGCAGGCUUGAGUACUGAAGAGGGUCGUGGAAUUCCCAGUGUAGAGGUGAAAUUCGUAGAUAUUGGGAAGAACACCGGUGGCGAAGGCGGCGACCUGGUCCUUGACUGACGCUGAGGCGCGAAAGCGUGGGGAGCAAACAGG